rnacentral:piRNA from 1 species
UAAAAAAGAAAAGUAAAGAAGGAGCAA